UAACUGAAGAGUUUGAUCAUGGCUCAGAUUGAACGCUGGCGGCAGGCUUAACACAUGCAAGUCGAGCGGGGAGAUGUAGCUUGCUACAUCACCUAG
rnacentral:ncRNA from 1 species